GGGUUUGGAGGGUAACAAGCUUACUCAGCUAACUCGGCAGAGUCUUGUUCCUAUUGCAACCACUAGCUUCCUUCACUUGAAUAUCAGCAAUAACUUGAUCAAUUACAUCCAGGAAGACACCUUAAGUCAGUUUUCGGCUCUGAAAAUUCUUGAGGUGCACCGGAACAGCAUUGCGACUAUCAAUCCUAAUGCGUUCGCCAACAUCCCCACACUUCUUCACUUGUACGUACACACGA